CCCAAAAUGCAUUGUGCAUAUGAAAUUUGAUCAAGAUCCCUUCAGUACUUUCUUAGAAAUAACAAAACAAGAAUUGUUUACGGAUGGACGGAUGGAAGAAGGGCGAAUUGAAUAGCCCACAGAGGGCUAAAAACCAGGAUUUUACUAUUCCUUUAAUAGUAACACCCUGAUUUUUUAUACAGUGUAUCUCAAUUUACUAUCUUUUCGCGCAGGUGCUUGGUCAUAGGUUGUCCCAUUCUGAUCUAUUAGAGUUACGUCCCUUUGUUUUACUUUGCCAGUGUGGUUGGACUAGGCCUACUAUACAACCAUAGCAUGCCUUUGUCUUUGAGAGCCGACGUGGACCCGACCUCAGAACCAGGCACUCGCUUUUACCCAAACCCCUGUGACAGAAUUGUAGCCAUAGACUCUAGAUCUACUUACUACAGCACGACUUACUGUGAAACAUAGACUUGUCUGGCAGAGUUACACCAAACAGACCUCUCACAGACCUUUUGAAGACAUUUUGGAAGAAUAGGACGGAUAACGGACAGACCACGGACGAAGGAAAAUAGCCCACCAUUUGGUGAUUA